rnacentral:lncRNA from 13 species
AUGGUGCUCUUCUGCCCGGGAAUCUCUGGUCUGGCUUCCCUCUUGAGUCCGCAACAAGCGGCUCUGACUUCCCGGAGCUCCAAACUCCGGUCAGUAGGGGAAGCGGUCCCGUUGGCUCUGCAGGAAGAGCUGCUGCACCGACGCCGGCAAAACCGCUGCGGCGGCCACAAGAGUCGCGCUGGCGACCCGUGGGGCUCCUCCACUGGGAAUCGGCUGAUCGAUCCUAGCUCGCUCUAACCCCAAGUUCUUCCCCCGCUCGUAACGCAUCGUUCCAUCUAAGGAAUUCCAAGUAGAGACACUGAAAACAAAGAAAUCCAG